ACAUGUCUCGUAUGGUUUCCAGAGAUGGAUUCCUUCAGUUCGGCUGGCGAGAACACAGGUGUUGCAUGGCUGUCGUCAGCUCGUGUCGUGAGAUGUUGGGUUAAGUCCCGCAACGAGCGCAACCCUCGCCUUUAGUUGCCAUCAUUUAGUUGGGCACUCUAGAGGGACUGCCGGUGAUAAGCCGGAGGAAGGUGGGGAUGACGUCAAGUCCUCAUGGCCCUUACGGGUUGGGCUACACACGUGCUACAAUGGCGGCGACAAUGGGCAGCGAAGGGGCGACCCGGUGCAAAUCCCAAAAAGCCGUCUCAGUUCGGAUUGUACUCUGCAACUCGAGUGCAUGAAGGUGGAAUCGCUAGUAAUCGCGUAACAGCAUGACGCGGUGAAUACGUUCCCGGGCCUUGUACACACCGCCCGUCACACCAUGGGAGUUGGUUUUACCCGAAGCUGGUGCGCUAACCGCAAGGAGGCAGCCAACCACGGUAAGGUCAGCGACUGGGGUGAAGUCGUAACAAGGUAGCCCUAGGGGAACCUGGGGCUGGAUCACCUCCUUAAACUUGGAUCCCGGGGACAGGCCC
rnacentral:rRNA from 1 species